AAAAAAAAAAAAAAAUAACAGAAAAGGAGCGAGCUUAUUGUUUUGUCUGAAUCUUCUCGCUCACCCUAAUUCGAGAAUGAUUUUUGCGAAUUCGCUUAGAAUUUAUGCGGCCUGCGAGUGCACAACGGACGAACACCAGCACGGACUUGGGUAAUUUGGUCGGUAUUUCGAUCAUUUGAGUGUUAAUGAUGGAGGGCUGGAGACAUCCGACCGGGCGUGGCCCUGAACGACUUUUUACCGAAGUCAAGAAAUGCAUUUGAAGUUAAAAUAGACGAUUUCAGGAAUACUUUGGUGCUAAAAGUACUUCAAUGCAUCGAGCUGAAGCGGAGUUAUUGGCAAUAAAAGGUCG